UACGUAGGUGGCAAGCGUUAUCCGGAAUUAUUGGGCGUAAAGCGCGCGCAGGUGGUUUCUUAAGUCUGAUGUGAAAGCCCACGGCUCAACCGUGGAGGGUCAUUGGAAACUGGGAGACUUGAGUGCAGAAGAGGAAAGUGGAAUUCCAUGUGUAGCGGUGAAAUGCGUAGAGAUAUGGAGGAACACCAGUGGCGAAGGCGACUUUCUGGUCUGUAACCGACACUGAGGCGCGAAAGCGUGGGGAGCAAACAGG
rnacentral:rRNA from 1 species